rnacentral:lncRNA from 1 species
UGUACGUAAAGAUAGGGAUGACGGUUACGCCGGUGUUGCAAUCCUAAUUAAAAAAACUUUUAACUAUACUCUAGCUAAUGUUCGUCAAAAUUUUUCUAAUGAAAUAUUAAUUUGUGGUAUCCAGAUCAUAACUAAUAAUAAGGAAAAUUUUAAAUGUUUUUCAGUCUACUGCCCACCCAACAUAAGGACAAGCCGCUCAGAUUGGGAAAAUGUAUUAAACACACUAAAUGGUACAGGUAUUAUAGGAGGUGACUUCAAUGCACACCAUGAGAUGUGGGGCUCAUAUAAAACAAAUCCCAAAGGAACUCAGGUAUUAGUCGUUCUUGAGAAUACUGAUCUAGUGCUUUUGAAUACUGGAGAACCUACCAGAUUUACAAGAAAUAACAUUAGAUCUGUGGUUGACUUAACAUUUUCAUCAUCAGAUCUUGCUAUUGAUUGUGAGUGGUAUACACUUAAGGAUGUGAUGUGCAGUGGCGGCUUGUGAGUUUUAAAAUAGGGGAGACUAUAACUAUAAGAAAUCUAGACAAAUUUUCACUAGCAAAAAAA